rnacentral:rRNA from 1 species
CCUACGGGAGGCAGCAGUAGGGAAUAUUGGUCAAUGGGGGGAACCCUGAACCAGCCAUGCCGCGUGCAGGAUGAAGGCGUUCUGCGUCGUAAACUGCUUUUAUAUAGGAAGAAAAGCUCUUGCGAGAGUCUAUGACGGUACUAUAUGAAUAAGCACCGGCUAACUCCGUGCCAGCAGCCGCGGUAAUACGGAGGGUGCAAGCGUUGUCCGGAAUUAUUGGGUUUAAAGGGUGCGUAGGCGGUCUAAUAAGUCAGAGCUGAAAUCCCAGGGCUUAACCCUGGAACUGGCUUUGAUACUGUUGGACUUGAAUAUACUAGAGGUUAGCGGAAUUUAUGAUGUAGCGGUGAAAUGCAUAGAUAUCAUAAAGAACACCGAUAGCGAAGGCAGCUAACUGGAGUAUUAUUGACGCUGAGGCACGAAAGCGUGGGUAGCGAACGGGAUUAGAUACCCCGGUAGUCCACGCCGUAAACGAUGUUCACUCGCUGUGUGCGAUAUACAGUACGCGGCCAAGCGAAAGCAUUAAGUGAACCACCUGGGGAGUACGUUGGCAACGAUGAAACUCAAAGGAAUUGACGG